rnacentral:rRNA from 2 species
UGGCAGCUUUAGCGCGGUGGUCCCACCUGACCCCAUGCCGAACUCAGAAGUGAAACGCCGUAGCGCCGAUGGUAGUGUGGGGUCUCCCCAUGUGAGAGUAGGGAACUGCCAGGCA